rnacentral:rRNA from 1 species
ACGCUGGCGGCACGCCUUAUACAUGCAAGUCGAACGAAGUAGCAAUACUUAGUGGCAGACGGGUGAGUAACAUGUAGGUAUCUUCCCUUUGGUGAGGAAUAACACGAGGAAACUUGUGCUAAUACCUCAUAAGUCUUUACGGAGAAAGCUUUAUGCGCCAAUGGAUGAGCCUGCACUUGAUUAGUUUGUUGGUGGGGUAAUGGCCUACCAAGACUUUGAUCAAUAGCUGAUCUGAGAGGAUGAUCAGCCACAUUGGGACUGAGACACGGCCCAAACUCCUACGGGAGGCAGCAGUAGGGAAUAUUGCACAAUGGAGGAAACUCUGAUGCAGCGAUGCCGCGUGAGUGAAGAAGGCCUUUGGGUUGUAAAGCUCUUUCGUCGGGGAAGAAAAUGACGGUACCCGAAUAAGAAGGUCCGGCUAACUUCGUGCCAGCAGCCGCGGUAAUACGAAGGGACCUAGCGUAGUUCGGAAUUACUGGGCUUAAAGAGUUCGUAGGUGGUUAAAAAAGUUGGUUGUGAAAUCCCGAAGCUUAACUUCGGAACUGCAAUCAAAACUUUUUAGCUAGAGUAUGAUAGAGGAAAGCAGAAUUUCUAGUGUAGAGGUGAAAUUCGUAGAUAUUAGAAAGAAUACCAAUUGCGAAGGCAGCUUUCUGGAUCAUUACUGACGCUGAGGAACGAAAGCAUGGGUAGCGAAGAGGAUUAGAUACCCUCGUAGUCCAUGCCGUAAACGAUGUGUGUUAGACGUUGGAAAUUUAUUUUCAGUGUCGCAGCGAAAGCAGUAAACACACCGCCUGGGGAGUACG